rnacentral:rRNA from 1 species
AAGUCGUAACAAGGUCUCCGUAGGUGAACCUGCGGAGGGAUCAUUACAAGUGACCCCCGGCUCCGGCCGGGGAUGUUCAUAACCCUUUGUUGUCCGACUCUGUUGCCUCCGGGGCGACCCUGCCUUUUCACGGGCGGGGGCCCCGGGUGGACACAUCAAAACUCUUGCGUAACUUUGCAGUCUGAGUAAAUUUAAUUAAUAAAUUAAAACUUUCAACAACGGAUCUCUUGGUUCUGGCAUCGAUGAAGAACGCAGCGAAAUGCGAUAAGUAAUGUGAAUUGCAGAAUUCAGUGAAUCAUCGAAUCUUUGAACGCACAUUGCGCCCGCCAGCAUUCUGGCGGGCAUGCCUGUUCGAGCGUCAUUUCAACCAUCGAGCCCCCGGGCUUGUGUUGGGGACCUGCGGCUGCCCGCAGGCCCUGAAAACCAGUGGCGGGCUCGCUGUCACUCCGAGCGUAGUAGUAUCACCUCGCUCAGGGCGUGCUGCGGGUUCCGGCCGUUAAACGACCCAUUUACCCCAAGGUUGACCUCGGAUCAGGUAGGAAUACCCGCUGAACUUAA